UACGGAGGGUGCAAGCGUUAUCCGGAAUCACUGGGUUUAAAGGGUGCGUAGGCGGUGUGGUAAGUCAGUCGUGAAAUUCCCCGGCUUAACCGGCGGGACUGCGAUUGAUACUGCCAUACUUGAAUCAGGUUGAGGUAGGCGGAAUGUGGCAUGUAGCGGUGAAAUGCUUAGAUAUGCCAUAGAACACCGAUUGCGAAGGCAGCUUGCUGGGCCUUGAUUGCCGCUGAGGCACGAAAGCGUGGGGAGCAAACAGG
rnacentral:rRNA from 1 species